GUGCUUUUUAAACCGUAAUCCUAACUUAACUCCAAAUGAGCAACAAGAAGAUGGAUGGAAGAAAAUUAAACUCACACUCGAGAUAGCUAAAUUGCCUGUCUAUCGCAAAUGGAUUUGUACCUUGUUGGGUGUCUGAAUAAAUUGCUAUUUAUGCCAAAAGAGGCACAACAAAAUCGUUCAAAUAGUCAGUAGUUGGUCAGCUGGCAAAUACCCCAAAAUGACAAACAAAGCAAUCCCCGAAAUUCCAUUUGACGCUGAAAAACAUUUACAAACAUUGUGGUCGCCAGCAGGAGCAGCUAAAAUUCAGUGGAUGCUUUAUGAUAAACUCAUGUGGCUGGCGUUCCAUGGCCAUGGACACAGUGGUUCCACUUGCUAAGUAGCCACCGCUUCUGUCGGCGACACCGGAACGCGUGUAUUGCGCCGCCUUUGCUGGCGAAUCAAUCAAUUCCGCUGGUGCACGUGACAUGGAACCCCGAGUGCCGGCCGAGACCGCCGAGACCGCCGGAAUCCGGGGGUCAAGGAACGGACCUCAGCCGAGCGGAGCAACGCCACGGCGUGGCGAUCAGAAGCAGCGAGUUUGUUGCUGGCUUCCGACUCACACCACACAUCACACACCACACACCGCACCAUGCGCAAUUCGCCGCUCCGAUUGCGUCACUUUCGUCGCUUUCCGCGUUCCGCUGGCCAAGCGGUUUAUUUUAAAACUAAUUAUAAGGCAGCCCAAAUAUAAUGCACAGUCGCUUUGGAUUACAUGAAUGAAUGAAAUCCAGCACUGAUAAGCCGCUCGAUGGAUAGACGGACUGGACUGGAGGUCUGGGGCUGGCUUUAUCGCAGUAGCCCAUAGUCAGCAUAAUGCAACUGAGUUGUUUGGAUGAGCUCUGCUGGAAUUCAGACUGCUAAAGAUCUUAUGCUUAUCCUAUACAUUUAGCUGACUCGGAAAUAGACGAUAAAAUAAUGUGAAACAUACCAAA